GAACUGAAGUCUGCAGAAAGGUAGCUCUCCAGGAGCAGGGCUGGAGAUCCCUGCUUUAAACAAAUAGGUCCAGGACUGAACACUGAAGACCAAAGACCCUGGAGAACAGACGAGAAAGAGAAGAGUGGAAAGAGAAAUAGAGAAAGAUGUGCUUCUGUAUCAAGAGAAUAGGAAUUUUCCCUUUAGUCUGCUGUGGCUGUCCAGAGCCAGGCACUAUUAUGAGCACCUCCACGAAGGAUGUCAGCGUAGAAAGGAGAGAAUGAGUGUUUGGAGGUCUCCGGGAGGCCCAGGAGAGUUUUGUCCCCAACUGCUUACUGGACUAAAAGGAAAGGACUUAAAACGACUCAUCUCUGUCAGCUCAUCAGCAUUUGACAGAUCAGCAAGACUUCCGCAGGCCAGAUUUGACACCAAACAAGUUUUCUUGGAUGGACCUCUCAUUAUAAUGCAUGUAUACCUGCUAAUUGGAGGUUCUGGUGAAUUGAGAUCAACCUAAGAAACAGAAGACGUGAAACUUUUAGUUUGUGCUCAAACUAUUUUUUUAUCAAAUAUAUGCAGCCUUGAUGAGCAUAAGUGUCUUCUUCCAGAAACAAACUUUACCACUCCAAAACUUUAAAACAGUUGGCUACAUAGCAAUAUACUGAGGACAAAAGAAAAAUGGAAGGAUAGGUGGAUGAAUGGAUAAAAAUCAAUCAAUGGCAGUCAUGGCAGACCAUAAAACUGAUACCAGAAAUAAUUACAUAACGCUAUGAUAUAUUUAGUGAUGGGUACUCAACUCCCAGUCAAUUUAUUUUGGAAAUCUUCCAUGCUGUGCUGUGAUUCCCUGUUAAAUGCAUUGACAGGCAGGUAUGGGGUAGUCGGAAAAGAUACUGUUUACACAGUCCCUAAGGAAAGGAAUCAUGCUCUUCCUCUUUCAAAGCUCAGAAAUGCUUCAUUAAUGCUGUCAAUGGUGUGGGCUACAGCAGAGAAAUCAGACACAAUACUUUCAUUCCCUUAUUCCUGGCACCAACCAACCUAUGGCCACAGUCCCACAUAUACCUUAUAGAGCAGUACUUAAUGUAGCAGAAAAGAGAAAGAGAAAAAGAGGAGCGAGGAAAUACAUCAGAGAUUAAUGAGAGCAAAAACGUUGCAGGGAUGGGCUCUGAAUGGAUGCAGUCAUAGGUCAGAGUCUUCAGUAAUAAGACACUUACAUCCUCCCGUCAGCAUGAACCAGAGCCAAGAUACAGCAGGAGGGAAGAGGAUGCAUGAGCUUCUGUUUAGAUGAUAGUUUCCAAGGAGACAACAUUAAAAAUGAUAGGGGAGGAUGAUGGUCGGACUAAGAGAAAUGACACCCAGGCAGGAAGUCAGAAUGAGAAGUUUCAUUAAAAGUGCAUUUGUUUAAUUCCAUUAGGAUUAGCGAGCUUCUCAGAGACACUAAUAAAUGACAGGCAGAGUCUGUGAAUCGCCCUGCAGUUGAAUAGGAAGACUGCUGUUAUCUGGGAUCUGUCGAGGUGUUUGGAGUAUGAAUGAGGUUGAAGAUUUAAUGUGGCUAAUGAGGCAUUGAAAAUGCUCUUUUUUCCAGAUCCAGUUGAGUAAAUUCAUUACUUAUUAUAAUUUUUUUUUCCAGUGAGCUUUACUUUUAAAUGCUAUACAUACCAUGCAAUGAAAAAAGUGUCAACAAUUGAAGGUUCUAUUCUAUUAUUUAUUCUAUAUCCACGACAAAAGUUAAAAAAUU
ensembl:lncRNA